rnacentral:tRNA from 1 species
GGCUCCACAGUGUAGCGGUUAGCACACCUGCUUUACACGCAGAAUGUUCUGGGUUCAUGCCCCAGUGGAGCCA